GAUGCUCAUUAAUUAUAUUAUUUAAUAUGGAUAUCCUCUGAGAUGUCUGUUUCCGGCUAAAAUCCGGUCUCAAGAAUAUUCCAUCAUUGAGAGUAUUUAAUCCAAAACUCUCGAUCUGUUGACAAUCUUCUUGUCCCGGUGAAGGGGGAAGAUUUUCUGUCUUAUCUUUCUUGAACAGAUCAUAUAAUAUUUCUUCAACCUUGUCGUAAAGGCUGAAUGUAUUCUAGCCUUUUUCGACAUGCUUGAUAAGAAGUUCAGAAACAUCUUUAUUUAGAUCUUGAUAAUUCACAAUAUCCAUUA
rnacentral:lncRNA from 1 species